rnacentral:rRNA from 1 species
UACGUAGGGUGCGAGCGUUGUCCGGAAUUAUUGGGCGUAAAGAGCUCGUAGGCGGUCUGUCGCGUCUGCUGUGAAAUCCCGAGGCUCAACCUCGGGCUUGCAGUGGGUACGGGCAGGCUAGAGUGCGGUAGGGGAGAAUGGAACUCCUGGUGUAGCGGUGGAAUGCGCAGAUAUCAGGAAGAACACCGAUGGCGAAGGCAGUUCUCUGGGCCGUAACUGACGCUGAGACGCGAAAGCGUGGGGAGCAAACAGG